AAAAAACAGCCAGGGGGUGACAACAUGUGCGAGAAGGCAAGGCAUGUGCGAGAAGGCAAGGCAUACCGACUUGUUAAGAAAAGAAGAAGCUGCAAGCCAAAAAGUCAAGUGUUUACCUGAACACAACGUUUCCAGCCCUGUCCACUUUCCAUGCCUUGAUCAGGGCGAAGUCUCCGGUGAUGGCCUUCUCCAUGAUGUAGUGUCUGCCAUUAAACUCCUGCACCUGUACAUAAACAGACACCGUUGAGGAUGAAAAUGCUGCAUGGACCUGACCUGAGCUACAGUAUAGACAAAUGAAUUAGUCUAAGAAAUACUGGACAAUGACUGAGCCAAAUAUUUUAAUAGUUUGUUUAGUUUCUUAAAGGCCGCUAGCUUGCAACAAUACAUACAGAAAACAAGGAUGCCAUAAUUAAGUAAAAGGCAGGUUCAUUGCAUUUUAGGCUUUUUAGUACUGUGGUUUUUGGCCAUCUAAUGUGGACAUCUAAGCAGCAAAGCCACUCCAAAGCGAUGGCGAUGCUGCCAUCCUUGUUGUACUUUAUAGGAGAGCCUCCUUGCUGGAUCAGUGUGCCGUAGCCAGUCGCUGUGAAAAAGGCAGGAAUCCCUGCACCCCCUGCUCGGAUUCUCUCCGCUAAGGUACCCUGU